AAUUGAAUCGUACGCAACCUUCAUAUAUCCUCGAUGAUAUGGAUCGAAAGUCUCUACCGGGCCACCGUAAAUGGCCUGACUAUGAAGGCAGUAAUUUCAGGG
rnacentral:ncRNA from 2 species